rnacentral:rRNA from 1 species
ACGAACGCUGGCGGCGUGCUUAACACAUGCCAGUCGAACGCUGAAGCUUGGUGCUUGCACUGGGUGGAUGAGUGGCGAACGGGUGAGUAAUACGUGAGUAACCUGCCCUUGACUCUGGGAUAAGCCUGGGAAACUGGGUCUAAUACUGGAUACGACAUGUCACCGCAUGGUGGUGUGUGGUAAGGGUUUUAGUGGGAUUGGAUGGGCUCAAGGCCUAUCAGCUUGUUGGGGGGGUAAUGGCUCACCAAGGCGACGACGGGUAGCCGGCCUGGGAGGGUGACCGGCGACACUGCGACUGAGACACGGCCCAGACUCCUACGGGAGGCAGCAGUGGGGAAUAUUGCACAAUGGGCGGAAGCCUGAUGCAGCGACGCCGCGUGAGUGAUGACGGCCUUCGGGUUAAAAACCUCUUUCAGCACGGAAGAAGCGAAAGUGACGGUACGUGCAGAAGAAGCGCCGGCUAACUACGUG